AGUGAACGCUGGCGGUAGGCCUAACACAUGCAAGUCGAACGGCAGCACAGUAAGAGCUUGCUCUUACGGGUGGCGAGUGGCGGACGGGUGAGGAAUACAUCGGAAUCUGCUUUUUCGUGGGGGAUAGCGUAGGGAAACUUACGCUAAUACCGCAUACGACCUACGGGUGAAAGCAGGGGAUCUUCGGACCUUGCGCGAUUGAAUGAGCCGAUGUCGGAUUAGCUAGUUGGCGGGGUAAAGGCCCACCAAGGCGACGAUCCGUAGCUGGUCUGAGAGGAUGAUCAGCCACACUGGAACUGAGACACGGUCCAGACUCCUACGGGAGGCAGCAGUGGGGAAUAUUGGACAAUGGGCGCAAGCCUGAUCCAGCCAUACCGCGUGGGUGAAGAAGGCCUUCGGGUUGUAAAGCCCUUUUGUUGGGAAAGAAAAGCAGCAGGUUAAUACCCCGCUGUUCUGACGGUACCCAAAGAAUAAGCACCGGCUAACUUCGUG
rnacentral:rRNA from 1 species